AUGUGGUCAUGAUAGGGGAUAAAAGGGGUCCCCAUGAAGAAGGAGGGGGGAACCAUUUUUGGCAGAGCCAUGCUGCAAAGCAGGGAGAGAGCUUCCAUGCUGGAGCCCUACGGCUCCUGGGGAGAGAGGAAGAGCAGCUGGACGCUGCAGCCCUCUCUCUCUCGAAACUGGACAUACAAGAAACUGCCUGCCUCCAGAGGAAAGCAACCAGCCUCUGGAUCAUACUUACAGGUUUGGAAUAUCGGAUGUGGCAGGUCUCUGGAGCCUGGGGCCAGCGCUCAUCCCGGCGGAGGCAGGAGGCACUUUGGCCACUUGAACAGACGAGGUUUAGCCAGUCACCAACACUGAAGUGUAUGUGCAGUGACUAGUUUCAAUUAAGCUCAGAGCUGAGUUCAAAGCAAGAUCUGUAGAAAUACAAAGCAGUUGUGGGUUUCCAGAACAGCACCUGAAAAACUCAGUUUUGCAUCUAAAAAUUUGCUUCAAAUGAUACAUUUGGCACGUUCUGUUGUUGCUUAAAUGUAAGAAUGAGAAAACCUGUGCAGAAAUCCCACUACCCUGGAGUUUUGGCUGGAUUGGAGCCUACAACUGAAACUGUGCAAACACUACUGAACUCUUGUGGCUUGUGUCAACCCUCGCUCACAUAUAAGCCGUAGGGCCCAGCUGGUCGCUGUCAUGCCAAAGUGGACCAGCCAGUUGGGAGGUUGGAGUCCAGGUU